rnacentral:rRNA from 1 species
UAUUGGACGAUGGGCGAAAGCCUGAUCCAGCAAUGCCGCGUGAGUGAUGAAGGCCUUAGGGUUGUAAAGCUCUUUUACCCGGGAUGAUAAUGACAGUACCGGGAGAAUAAGCUCCGGCUAACUCCGUGCCAGCAGCCGCGGUAAUACGGAGGGAGCUAGCGUUGUUCGGAAUUACUGGGCGUAAAGCGCACGUAGGCGGCUUUGUAAGUUAGAGGUGAAAGCCUGGAGCUCAACUCCAGAAUUGCCUUUGAUACUGCAUCGCUUGAAUCCAGGAGAGGUGAGUGGAAUUCCGAGUGUAGAGGUGAAAUUCGUAGAUAUUCGGAAGAACACCAGUGGCGAAGGCGGCUCACUAGUGCUGGUAUUGACGCUGAGGUGCGAAA